GCCGCGUGUGUGAAGAAGGCCUUCGGGUUGUAAAGCACUUUCAGUUGUGAGGAAAGGUUGGUGGUUAAUACCCAUUAGCUAUGACGUUAGCAACAGAAGAAGGACCGGCUAACUCCGUGCCAGCAGCCGCGGUAAUACGGAGGGUCCGAGCGUUAAUCGGAAUUACUGGGCGUAAAGCGCACGCAGGCGGUUUGUUAAGCUAGAUGUGAAAGCCCCGGGCUCAACCUGGGAAUAGCAUUUAGAACUGGCAGACUAGAGUCUUGGAGAGGGGAGUGGAAUUUCUGGUGUAGCGGUGAAAUGCGUAGAUAUCAGAAGGAACAUCAGUGGCGAAGGCGACUCCCUGGCCAAAGACUGACGCUCAUGUGCGAAAGUGUGGGUAGCGAACAGGAUUAGAUACCCUGGUAGUCCACACCGUAAACGCUGUCUACUAGCUGUUUGUGGAUUUA
rnacentral:rRNA from 1 species